UGGGGAAUUUUGGACAAUGGACGCAAGUCUGAUCCAGCCAUUCCGCGUGCAGGAUGAAGGCCCUCGGGUUGUAAACUGCUUUUGUACGGAACGAAAAGGUCUCUCUUAAUACGGGGGGCUCAUGACGGUACCGUAAGAAUAAGCACCGGCUAACUACGUGCCAGCAGCCGCGGUAAUACGUAGGGUGCAGGCGUUAAUCGGAAUUACUGGGUGAAAAACGUGCGCCGGCGGUUAUGUAAGCAAGAGGGG
rnacentral:rRNA from 1 species